rnacentral:rRNA from 1 species
GAUGAACGCUAGCUACAGGCUUAACACAUGCAAGUCGAGGGGAAACGGCAUCGAAAGCUUGCUUUUGAUGGGCGUCGACCGGCGCACGGGUGAGUAACGCGUAUCCAACCUGCCCAUCACUUGGGAAUAACCUUGCGAAAGUAAGACUAAUGCCCAAUGACAUCCCACGAAGGCAUCCGAAUGGGAUUAAAGAUUUAUCGGUGAUGGAUGGGGAUGCGUCUGAUUAGCUUGUUGGCGGGGUGACGGCCCACCAAGGCAACGAUCAGUAGGGGUUCUGAGAGGGAGGGCCCCCAAAAUGGGACCGGGGCCACGGCCAAAAUCCCACCGGGAGGAGCCAUUGAGGAUAAUGGGCAAAGGGGCAGAACCCUAAACAAGCCAAUUAGCUGCAAGAAUGCCGGCCUAUGGGUUGUUAACUUCCUUUUUAAGGGAAUAAAGUGGGUCACGUGUGACUUUUUGCAUGUACCUUAUGAAUAAGGACCGGCUAAUUCCGUG